CCUGCCCCUAGAGUCAUUGAUGGUGUGGCUGCUAUAUUACAUGUUGUAUCAGUAGGUGGCAGAGAAGAGAAAGGGUAUGUCUACACUCAGUAAUCUGACCUAUGAACAUCUGAACAAUUAGUAGCCUAACAUU